CCAUGUGGAAUUGAGCUAUUUGGGAGCCAGAGACUUCAUUCAACAAAUAGUGAGCGCCGAAUACCGGAGGUACAGUGAUGAACGAAAUAGACUCUGGUGCCUUCCUGGGGGCACAUUAGAAGAGAGAGAAAUGGAGUAAAAUAGCAAAUUGUGUCAUAUAUUGUGACGUCAUAGUACUAUUCAAAACAGAAAGCAGGGAAGGUCUUAAGGUUGUCCCUGUCAGGGGCAAUGUGGAUUUCAGACACAGUGACCAGGAAAGGGCUUUGAGAGAAACGGACACACGGGAAGAGUUGCGGCUCCGAGGGGCUAAGCUACACAGAGUACUCUUCCUGUGAUCAGCAGUCACAAGUGUCUGGGGGACUGAUCGGAGAAGCAGGGAGAAGAGCAUUUCCUAAAGAAGUCGGGAAAUCUGCACCUUAGGGGCCGCAGAGUCAGGAUGGUCAUCCAGAACAGCGGUCUUCCCACAGUGCUUCCGUACUGGACAAGUGAAGAUCGCCCCUGACGUCGAGAGCCUAGGAAAAUCAAUGCAAGGUUUAUGGAGGAAUUCUGUAGCCCAGGAGGCAUGAUGGUGUACUGUAGCUAAGCAUAUUCACUUUCCUCUGAAAUAGAUCUUAAAAGAGAAGGAAACAUUAAAAAUAUCAAUUCCUAAUAAGA